rnacentral:misc_RNA from 1 species
GAAAUGCGAUAAGUAGUGUGAAUUGCAGAAUUCAGUGAAUCAUCGAAUCUUUGAACUCACAUUGCGCCCUUUGGUAUUCCAAAGGGCAUGCCUGUUCGAGCGUCAUUUGUACCCUCAAGCUUUGCUUGGUGUUGGGCGUCUUGUCUCCAGUUCGCUGGAGACUCGCCUUAAAGUAAUUGGCAGCCGGCCUACUGGUUUCGGAGCGCAGCACAAGUCGCGCUCUCUUCCAGCCAAGGUCAGCAUCCACAAAGCCUUUUUUCAACUUUUGACCUCGGAUCAGGUAGGGAUACCCGCUGAACUUAAGC